rnacentral:rRNA from 1 species
UUCCGGUUGAUCCUGCCGGACCUGACUGCUAUCGGAUUGAUACUAAGCCAUGCGAGUCAUUGUAGCAAUACAAGGCAGACGGCUCAGUAACGCGUAGUCAACCUACCCUAUGGACGGGAAUAACCUCGGGAAACUGAGAAUAAUACCCGAUAGAACAUUAUGCCUGGAAUGGUUUAUGUUUCAAAUGAUUUAUCGCCGUAGGAUGGGACUGCGGCCUAUCAGUUUGUUGGUGAGGUAAUGGCCCACCAAGACUAUUACAGGUACGGGCUCUGAGAGGAGUAGCCCGGAGAUGGGUACUGAGACACGGACCCAGGCCCUAUGGGGCGCAGCAGGCGAGAAAACUUUGCAAUGUGCGAAAGCACGACAAGGUUAAUCCGAGUGGUUUCUGCUAAAGGAACCUUUUGUCAGUCCUAGAAACACUGAUGAAUAAGGGGUGGGCAAGUUCUGGUGUCAGCCGCCGCGGUAAAACCAGCACCUCAAGUGGUCAGGAUGAUUAUUGGGCCUAAAGCAUCCGUAGCCGGCUCUGUAAGUUUUCGGUUAAAUCUGUACGCUCAACGUACAGGCUGCCGGGAAUACUGCAGAGCUAGGGAGUGGGAGAGGUAGACGGUACUCGGUAGGAAGGGGUAAAAUCCUUUGAUCUAUUGAUGACCACCUGUGGCGAAGGCGGUCUACCAGAACACGUCCGACGGUGAGGGAUGAAAGCUGGGGGAGCAAACCGGAUUAGAUACCCGGGUAGUCCCAGCUGUAAACUAUGCAAACUCAGUGAUGCAUUGGCUUGUGGCUAAUGCAGUGCUGCAGGGAAGCCGUUAAGUUUGCCGCCUGGGAAGUACGUACGCAAGUAUGAAACUUAAAGGAAUUGGCGGGGGAGCACCACAAGGGGUGAAGCCUGCGGUUCAAUUGGAUUCAACGCCGGG